ACUCCUACGGGAGGCAGCAGUGGGAAUAUUGCACGAAUGGGGGAAACCCUGAUGCAGCCAUGCCGCGUGUGUGAAGAAGGCCUUCGGGGUUGUAAAAGCACUUUUCAGUAGGGAGGAAGGUAGUGUAGUUAACACCUGCACUAUUUGACGUUACCUAACAGAAGAAGCACCGGCUAACUCCGUGCCAGCAGCCGCGGUAAUAGCGGAGGGUGCGAGCGUUAAUCGGAAUUACUGGGCGUAAAAGCGCAUGCAGGC
rnacentral:rRNA from 1 species